rnacentral:rRNA from 1 species
CACGUAGGCGGAUUGUUAAGUCAGGGGUGAAAUCCUGGAGCUCAACUCCAGAACUGCCUUUGAUACUGACGAUCUCGAGUUCGGGAGAGGUGAGCGGAACUGCGAGUGUAGAGGUGAAAUUCGUAGAUAUUCGCAAGAACACCAGUGGCGAAGGCGGCUCACUGGCCCGAUACUGACGCUGAGGUGCGAAAGCUGGGGAGCAAACA